GCGCAGGCUGCACCCGGGCUCCCGCGGCGGAGGCGGCUGCGCGGUGCCUGGCAGGAAGCUGCGGAGCCCGGAAGAGCCCGCGCUGCCACCAACACGUUGCGCGGAGUCAUUCGACGGGCUGGGGCCCCACGUGGGCGGGGCAGGCCUGGCCAGGCGUGGGGCUGCGCUCCGCCCGCCCCGGUGGCCCCAAGACCCCAGGGAAUCGGAGCCGGGUGGAGGAGCGAUAGCGGGCGCGCUCUCCAGACGCUGUGCUGCGCAUUUCUCGUAUUUUAUUUCUUUCACUUAAUUGUGCAGCCUCCUUACGAAGCAGGCAUUCUGCUACCUCACUUGAUAGCUGAUUUAGCAUCCAGAGCCUGAUCUCCGCAACCCAGAGUGUGUGAGACCAAGAAUCAAAGACUGCAGGGAUAUGAAGGUAAACCCUGGCUUUACAGAGGGGGAGAUGGAGGCCCCCAGGCUGGCUGAUGCUCUGCAGUGCAUUUCAGCGUCUCCCCCACUUCCUUCUUUCUCCCCAAGUCUUACCUAAAGUGUCCAGGUGCUUUGUACCUCUGCAUACCACCAGGUUGGGAUGCCUAUCUUUGCAUGUGCACUGGGCUGUGGAACAGCACUUAAGAGAAUUAACAUCUCCCGCCCAGGCUGAACCGAGUUUCAAACUCCAAGGAGUAACUGCCUGCCGCCCCUGGUUUGUAAACUAAACGGGGCUCGGGUGGAGAAAGACAGUUGUGCAGGUUCUGGUGGGAGAAGCAAAGGUGAGGACUGACGGGGCGCUUUCUGUGACCCCACCUUCCCUGGAGCAGCAUUCCCUGAGCCUUGGAGCUCCCCUUUGUACUCAGGAUCGAUCCUGGACAAAGUUCCCCAGUGCAGCUGAACACACAGGGCCCAGCGACCUUAAGCAGCUAACUUCUGGCCCUGCCAGAGAAAGAGACAGACAAACGCAGCAAUGCAUCCGUUUUGUGUUGCUACAUAACAAAGUAGCAUGAUAAAUGACCCACCACUUAUCCACUUAAAAUGCUACAGUUAUGAUUGCAGAAUGUGGGUCAGGAGGCGGAGCUGGGUCCUCUGCUUCAAGGUGUCUCCUGGGGCUACAAUCAAGUCCCAGCCGUCAGCAGGUCCCCUCUGAAUGCUCUGUGAGGGAAGGAGCCGUUCCACUUGGCUUUCGCCGGCAGACUCACUCCUUGGAGCCUGUUGGACUAGAGCCUCCGUCCCAGUGGGCUGUUGGCCAGAGCCUGCCCUCGGCUCCUGUCAGGUGGGCCUUUCCAGCAUAGCAACUUGCAUCAUCAGAGUAUUCAAGCCAAGAUGGCAACAGAGAGAUUCUGCCAGCAAGACAGAGGUCAUGAUUUUAUGAAACUUAAUCGCCGAUGUGACCUUCCCGCACCUUUACCCUGUUCUGUCAGUAGAAGGGAGUCACAGGUUUUGUCCAGGCUCGAGGAAAGGGGAUCAUACAGCAGGGUGAAUAUCAGGUAAUGGAAGCUGGGUCUCCUCUGAGAAACUCUCUGCCACAUCUGGCAUGACACAUUCAAAUGGGGGACAGGGUUGAACGCCAGACUGUCAGAAGACGUCAUCCAGGAAGUACGAUCUGAAAUGCAUGCUCAGUACCCUAGCCUGCUCCAGUGACGAGCACACAGAUGGGUCACCUUGAUAAAGGAGGUGGAGAUGGCAAAGCUGGCUGGAGAAGUGGGUGGGACCUGUCAAUUGCAAGAUCCUAGGGUUCAACUAGCCGACUGUCAGGAGCCUCUAGCAGCUCCCGGGAGAUGUUGGCAGCAUAGGCGUGAAGCCACAAGGGCCUUGCUACCAUGGCUCUGCACAGUGGCCCACCCCGGGACUCCCAGAUCCAGGGUAUACCUUUAUUUUUACUUUUUCUCUUUGGCCUCUUUUGUUCCGUGUAAGUUUCCUCUGCAGAGCCGGUUCUUCCCUUACCCUUUCACCUCUCACCUUUGAAAUAAACAUUUGGCACUGUUUUUGGCAUGAAUCAUCCAACUCUUCAUUCCAGGCAAGAAGGACCUGGAGUACUUCUGCGUGGUGACCCAUCUUUAAAGGAACUACCUAACCACGGCGUGAUUAAGGUCUCCUCCAGCUCUGAAAUCCAGCUUUAUGGAACAAGAGAGGAACAACUGAGUCCAGCUGGAGUGUGGAAGCCGAACCAAAUUCAGACCCCCUCCCCCAAGGAUCUGGUUAGGAAGCAGCCCUGUCAGGCCCCUGUCCUGCUGGCUCCGUGGUCACCACUUCCUCCUGUGUCACGGGACAGAAGAUGCCACUGCCACAGCCACUGCUGGAAAAGUGACUUCUAACUGCCCACAGCUUGUAUUGAGGUAGAAACUGCUUAGUAGUGUUAAGAUAGCAGAGCAAUGGAGAAAGACCACUGCCCUGGCAGAAAACAUUUCGUUGUAAAUUGCUUCUCCAACCUUCAAGGCUGGUGUAUAUUGAACAGAGCGGGGGUUUCCAGCAUCCUUCCUGGGACAACACCAAGAGGUUAACAGCUGAGGAUCAAAAGCAGUUACCUUAGGUAGCAAUGUCUGCACACCUUGGAAUUCCCUGCAGGAACAAAGGCCGCCCCUCUCCCCUAUAUUUGGGGUCUCACCAUGGGCUGGCUGAGCCCAGGGGAAGUGGCUCUUGGGCCGAAGUGGGAAGCAGGGGCAAACCUCCAUCGCCCAGACCCUCCAGCCGACUGCAGCAAAGCAAAGGAGGUGGAAGGGAAUCUACCAACUCUUCGUAGCAAUUAUCCCUAAGCAUGUGACCAAGGACAUUUGUGCUUCCCUUUCUCACAAUUUUUAAGCCUCUGUAAUAAACACAUCUGAACUCUG